GCAUUGGUGGUUCAGUGGCAGAAUCCCCACUUUCCACGCAGGGGAGCCGGGGUUUGAUUCCCGGCCAAGGCG
rnacentral:tRNA from 1 species